rnacentral:rRNA from 1 species
GAAUAGAUUUAACCAUUAAGGAAUAACAACAAUCUCCAUGAGUUGGUAGUUUCGGUUGGGGUGACCUCGGAGAAUAAAAAAUCCUCCGAGCGAUUUUAAAGACUAGACCCACAAGUCAAAUCACUCUAUCGCUCAUUGAUCCAAAAACUUGAUCAACGGAACAAGUUACCCUAGGGAUAACAGCGCAAUCCUAUUCAAGAGUCCAUAUCGACAAUAGGGUUUACGACCUCGAUGUUGGAUCAGGACAUCCUGAUGGUGCAACCGCUAUCAAAGGUUCGUUUGUUCAACGAUUAAAGUCCUACGUGAUCUGAGUUCAGACCGGAGUAAUCCAGGUCGGUUUCUAUCUAUUACGUAUUUCUCCCAGUACGAAAGGACAAGAGAAAUAAGGCCAACUUUAAAUCAAGCGCCUUAAGACAACCAAUGAUAACAUCUCAACUGACAACACAAAACCCUGCCCUAGAACAGGGCUUAGUUAAGGUGGCAGAGCCCGGUAAUUGCAUAAAACUUAAACUUUUAUAUCCAGAGAUUCAAAUCCUCUCCUUAACAAAAUGUUCAUAAUUAACAUCUUAAUACUAAUUAUUCCCAUCCUAUUGG